AGAUAGCCUUUAAAAAAUGAUGCAUUGCAUACACACCAUAAGAAGCAAUAAUUACAAGAGGUAGUUUAGGUAAACAUUCUAGCUCGAUGUGGUUGUUUAACAAAGUGUAGUUUUUAUUAUUAGUUGCAGAUGUUCACUGUAGAGUUUUUAAGCACUGCCUGAUACUCCAUUAUGUGGAUGUAGUUGGAUUUGUCCAACCUGUGUCUGGGGUUGCACAUUUCGGUGAUUUCCACCUCCCCUUCUUGGUCAUCU
rnacentral:lncRNA from 1 species